rnacentral:lncRNA from 1 species
AAUAGAUUAGUAGUGUAUGUAUUAUUUUUUUAUUAGGCUCUUAUUUUCGAGUGUAGAUGUAGUACUUAAACAACAAAUGUAUUUUAAUGUUUUGAAGUAAUAUUUAUGUGGUAAUGUGUGGUAUGUGCAAAUUUAAGAAAAAAUAUAUAUUUUUCUUAACGGGUCAUAACGGGUCGGGUCACUUUACCCGUUGGGUAAAGUGACACGACCUGUUAAGAACCCGUUAAGAUAACGGGUGUGACACGACACGACC